AUCUAGUUGAUGAGUCUCAAAUAGGACGAAACAUACAUCGUGGAU
rnacentral:hammerhead_ribozyme from 1 species